CGGGACUCCCCACGGGACCCUAAGACAUCUGAUCACGACCCAGGGUACACGCAAGUGUCCACGAUGCAAAGAACUGCCUUCUAAGGAAGCACAGGCGAAAUGACAAUCUAUGAUCUCAGUGCUCUGCCCACUUCGCACAGUGCUCAGUUCUGGGUCACACACACAGGUGCAUCAUUUUGUAUUAACUGCCAUAAAAAGUGAAAUGCCCAACGCCAUGGUUUAGAAGUCUAGAACACGCUAAACCUGGGAGAAGAGGAUGUUUUAUUUUUAUGUAGCCUCCAUUUCACCUUCUCCCGAGGAACCUACAAGCAAGCAGCAUGUAUUCAUUUUGCUUUCAAACAUGCUAGACUCGAGGAACAGAACCGUCUGGAACUCCUGCAGUGACCACCUAAUCAUGUAUCUAUCUGAUGGUCUCCUGGAAGGAUGGCGCCAUACGCACAUAGUUGCUUAUGUCUUCUAUGCACAACAAACACAAGUUCAGCUCAUCCUGAGGAACACAGGACCGGUUUCACAAAACACAAGGGGGAAGAUGAGCAGAACCCAACCACAGGCUAAUCUGUCUGGAGAAUGACUUCCACUGGCGGGCCAGGCAGGCCAGGAACCAGAGACCAGCAUCCAGAAGCGAUGCCUGAAGAAUUCUAAGGCUCCACGGACAGUGUCCACUCGCCUUGGAGGAGCUGUUCCAGGGCAGGAGCAAGAUUCCGGAUGCUUCCAGUUCUGGAAGCCCAAGAGCCAGUGGUUUUGUAAACGCAGUUAUACUGUUCAAACAGAGCUUUCCUUCCUGA